AAACAGCGAUUUAUUGAACACUGGUGAGCUUUGGGAGAGGGAUAGGACUGAGGCUUCCCAGUGGCUGCAAGGCGCGGCGCUGAAGGCAGGUGGUGCCAAAGGCCCUUCUCAUCGACGCCAUCCGCAGACGUCUCGUAGCUCUCUCUAGGGGACCCGCAAUCUAGACUAACGGAAACCGGGGGAAGGAAGGAGAGGGGGGCGCCAGGGCAGGGUUUAAGUGUAUCCUGGUCAGGGACGAGGGGUUCUGUCUCACUAACCUGAACACACCCGAAAGGCGGUGAACGACUUCGAGGGGUCAAGGCCGGGAGCGAGGGGGGCGCACGCCCCAAAAAGGGGGACCUAACGUGGGCAGGGCUAUGCAUUGAAGGAGGCAGAGCCUGAAUGAAGUGUUUGGGACACUUUCUCUCAGUGGCCCGUAGGUGCGCGCAAAGCCCCGAGAGAGGGGCGCUCUAGGCCGGCGGGACUUAGGGACUGUCACAGGCGGGGCUUGUGGUCAUCCUUAGUGGGCGGGCCCCGAAGCUCUGGAUAAGCGGGCCAUUACCUCAGAGCGGAGGGAAAGUGUGUCAGGGCGUGAGCGGAGCUCUUCCCCUAGUGGGGCGGACCUGGGGCUCCGUCCCUGCGGUUCGGGACGCUCGGUUACAGGGCGGGCCUGCAGAGGGAGGUGCUUCAGGGGAAAGCGUGAACUCCUGAAGGGCGGAGUCUGCAUCUCCCCCGACUGAGUUAAAGUCUCCUCAAGAUCCCCUGCACUGGCCGACCGGGUCCCCGGCUCUGUGAAGGGGUGGAGCUUGCGGUUCUGUUAGGAGGGGCACGCAACGUCGCGCGAGGAGAAUGCACACACUCAGGGCGUAGGUCGUACCUCUGGGAAGCGGGAGCUAAUAACACUGCCAGCGUGCGCUAGAGGCGCCGAGGAGGCGGGGCUUGUGGCCCUAGUGGGCGGGGCCAUCGGUAAUGUCUCUGCCCGGGUGGAGCUGAUAGAGCAGAAGGGGCGAAAGUUCUGCGAGAAUCUCUGAGCUGGCAGGGGGCGAGGCUUGUGGCUUUGGUGGGCGAGGCCUCUGGCGAGCUCCUGAGGGGGUGUUAGACCGCAGUGGGUGGACGUGGAUCCUAGCUCCGACGGACCUGGGUGACAGCGCCUGGGUCUGUGUGCAGGCGGGGUUCUCGCCUGGGUGGGGUGGGGCCUGAGACCCAGCUCGGGAGCUGGGCGGAGCCCCGGAUCGGCGCGGGCGGGGUCUCAGCCGUGGGAGGCCGUCUGUUUAGGCCUGCACGCAGCUCGGCAUCUGGUGCUCAUUACCGGAUGACAAAGGGCCGGCUCUGGGCCCCCUUCCCCACUCCCAUCCCCUCCCUACGACAGCAGUACAUUUAACUCCUAACUGCCCUUGGAGAGCUCUGGAUGCUCUGCCCAGGGUCACAGGAAGGAGCUCCCCUCCUUCCCGACCUGGUCUCAGCUCAAGCGGCAGAGUCCCUGGCCCCCUCCUGGGUGCCCUUCUGUUCUUCUCCUUCGCACUCAUCACUGUCUAACAUGCCCCCUGAGGAGUCGGUGGAGCCCAGUGGGAGUUGGGCACGACAACACGAUGUGAGGAUGGGCGGAAGGUGUGAGCAGAAGAGGCAGAGCCCAGCCGGAAGCGCUGAGGAGCAGCCAGGUCCUCUGAGCAUCAGCCCAGCCUGGGAGGCAGGAGGCUCAGGGGACGGCAGGAGCAGAGGGCUCCAUCGCAGAAGGAAAACAUCUCUGGCACUGGGACAGCCGUGCAUUCUCGGCUCUUUGGCAGAGGCCUUGCCUGGCAGGGCAGUGAGGGUCUGUAACCCUGUCAGCCCCAACAGGGCCAGCCCCGCAGGACCCCUGGGGUCCACUCCAGCUGCCUGCCCGAGGACCUGAGGGGUCAAGAUGGCCAUGAAGGUCACCCACCCCUGCCCCCCACCCUUGGCCUAACCCCUGCUAAAAACACCAGCUGCUGGGGCAGGGAAGGCAUGGGGUCAAGGGCCCAGGUCCCAGGCGGGGUGGGUGGGAGAGCUGAUUGUCUCAUCACGUGGCUCAGCUCUGUGUCCUAAGCCCCUCCCGGGAGCCAGGCCCCACAGACACCCCUUCAGACUGUGCCAUCCCACAGGGAGCUCCCCAUCCAGACUAGAGGCUUGCUCUGGACCUAAGUCUCACUGGUUUGAAACCUACCCAGGCCCCCAAAGCCCCAGCCCCUGGGCCAGUGACCCCCCCAGAUCCUCCCCAGGCGCUCCCGGUGAAUCACUCAGGCUGGAAUCUGAUGAGCUCAGGCCUCCCCACCCAGUGCUGCUGGUCUCUGCCUCCUGCCUGACCAGCAGGGUUGCCACACCCCCCACAGGGGUCUUCUAGGCAAUUCACAGCCCCCAACAGGGUCUACCAUGGGGUGGGGUGGCUGAGUGGUGGAAGGACUAGGCAGGGCUGGGAGUGAGGUUAGUCAGGAGAAGGGCUUGGACUUUGGCAUGAUCAAAAGUAUAAAAGUCUGAGUGUCUAGUAAUGUACACAAUUAACUAGUCACUCUGCUGUACAUCUGAAACCAACAUAAUAUUGUAUAUCAACUUUGUUGCACAAAACAAGUUAAAAAAUAUAAAGUCUA